rnacentral:miRNA from 1 species
AGGGAGCAGCAGAGGACCUGG